UGCUUCCAAUAUUGGUGUCUGCAUUCUGUAAUGACAGACGCUGGGAGACGAGAAGCAAGUACUGGGAGUGAACAUUUAAUAAACAACGGACAUGAAACAGAACACGGACAGCGUCUGUACAGGGGAGCAAAAUGAAAUUAACGCAGACAUGGGGAAGAAACAGAGGAAGUGACAAAUAUAGGGGGGUCAAUCAAUAAAGUAAUAUAGUCCAGGUGAGUCCCAUGAGAGCCAGAGUCCCAUGAGAGCCAGAGUCCCAUGAGCGCCAGAGAGGGGGAGUGGGAGCAGGCGUGACACAUGACAGCCAGAACGGGUUGUGCAGGUUGUGCGCUCUAGACCUCCAGUGCGUAGUCAAGGCCCCGUGUAUCCAGUUCCUGCUCCUCGCACUAGCCCUGUGGUGCGUGUCCCUAGUCUGGCACCUCCAAAGCCAGCCCCACGCACCAGGCCUUUAGUGUGCCUGCCCAGUCCAGUACGUCCUGUUCCUGCUCCUCGCACUAGCCUUGAGGUGCGUGUCCCUAGUCUGGCGCCUCCAAAUCCAGCCCCACGCACCAGGCCUUUAGUGCGCAGUCCCCGUGUAGAGCUUCCGGCGACAGUUCCCCGUCUAGAGCUUCCGGCGACAGUGCCCCGUUCAGUGCUUCCGGCGAAGGCCCACAGUCCGGAACCGACAGAGACGGCCCGCAGUCCGGAACCGACAGAGACGGUCCGGAACCGACAGAGACGGCCCGCAGUCCGGAACCGACAGAGACGGCCCGCAGUCCGGAACCGACAGACACGCCUGCCGGUCCGGCGCAGCCAGAGUCGCCGCGUCGGCCCGGCGCAGCCAGAGUCGCCGCGUCGGCCCGGCGCAGCCAGAGUCGCCGCGUCGGCCCGGCGCAGCCAGAGUCGCCGCGUCGGUCCGGCGCAGCCAGAGUCGCCGCCUGCGUAGUCAAGGCCCCGUGUAUCCAGUUCCUGCUCCUCGCACUAGCCCUGUGGUGUGCGUCCCUAGUCUGGCGCCUCCAAAGCCAGCCCCACGCACCAGGCCUUUAGUGCGCAGUCCCCGUCUAGAGCUUCCGGCGACAGUUCCCCGUCUAGAGCAUCCGGCGACAGUGCCCCGUCUAGAGCUUCCGGCGACAGUGCCCCGUCCAGUGCUUCCGGCGACGGCCCACAGUCCGGAACCGACAGAGACGGCCCGCAGUCCAGAACCGACAGAGACGGUCCGGAACCGACAGAGACGGCCCGCAGUCCGGAACCGACAGACACGCCUGCCGGUCCGGCGCAGCCUGCGUAGUCAAGGCCCUGUGUAUCCAGUUCCUGCUCCUCGCACUAGCCCUGUGGUGUGCGUCCCUAGUCUGGCGCCUUCAAAGCCAGUCCCACGCACCAGGCCUUUAGUGCGCAGUCCCCGUCUAGAGCUUCCGGCGACAGUGCCCUGUCUAGAGCUUCCGGCGACAGUGCCCCGUCCAGUGCUUCCGGCGACGGCCCACAGUCCGGAACCGACAGAGACGGCCCGCAGUCCGGAACCGACAGACACGCCUGCCGGUCCGGCGCAGCCUGCGUAGUCAAGGCCCUGUGUAUCCAGUUCCUGCUCCUCGCACUAGCCCUGUGGUGUGCGUCCCUAGUCUGGCGCCUCCAAAGCCAGCCCCACGCACCAGGCCUUUAGUGCGCAGUCCCCGUCUAGAGCUUCCGGCGACAGUGCCCUGUCUAGAGCUUCCGGCGACAGUGCCCCGUCUAGAGCUUCCGGCGACAGUGCCCCGUCCAGUGCUUCCGGCGACGGCCCACAGUCCGGAACCGACAGAGACGGCCCGCGGUCCGGAACCGACAGAGACGGCCCGCAGUCCGGAACCGACAGAGACGGCCCGCAGUCUGGAACCGACAGACACGCCCGCCGGUCCGGCGCAGCCAGAGUCGCCCGCCAAUCCGGCACAGCCAGAGUCGUCCGGCGCAGCCAGAGUCGGCCCGAGGUCUCCAGAGAUGCGCUACAGCCCUAAGCCUUCAGCGGGGGUGGACAGGUUAGAGUGGGGAUUAAGUCCAGAGCCAGAGCCACCUCCAUGGGGGGA
rnacentral:lncRNA from 1 species